rnacentral:lncRNA from 1 species
CCACUCUUCUUGGUGAACUGCUUUUAGGCACAAUUCUGAGCACAUAGCACUGAGUAAAAGUAUUGGUCAGUUUCCCCAUACAUAAAAGGAAUGAGCAGGUAGACCAGGCCUUCUGUGAGUCUCUUUACAUCUAGGACUAUUUAUUUUACAUCAGUCACACCCUGGCUGGGACACAUGGGUGUAUCGUUUCAUAUUUAUUUAUUUCCCAGACCCACCUUAAUCCCCCUCGAACCUUUUCCAGUCCCUGCUCAAGAUCCUCCUUUGCCACCUUUGCCCCCACAGCACCCAGUCCAAGCCCUGAGGCCAGGCGUGGCAACCACCGGGCCCUGCCUCCUGCCUGCCACUCCCUUCACCAUCACAGAAGGAGGAACGGAUUUCCCUGGAUAUCUCCAUCCUGGCCCCCGUGCCCAUGCCCAGCUUUCCUCUCAGCAGACCAGCCCUUCCCGCCAGCCAGCCUGCCCAGCAAAGCAGCCCAGCGUGGGUGGAUUCUGGAAGAAGCCCAUCCAGCCUGCCUCUCGCCAGCUCCUUAGAGGAGAGAGGGGACGGGCUCAGGAAGGGGACAGGCAGGGGGCAGGCAAGCCCUGGGCUGCAGUUUUGGGCUGGGCCAGGCCGUUCCCAUGAGCAGUUCACCACUGCUUCCAAAAAUAACCACAGUGACUAUGUGUCAGCCUCACAUUGCCGAUGCGCAGGGUAAACACUCAUAAAUCUCCGUCUGGGGCCUGAGGAAAAGGCCGAGCAUCGAAGAACGUGGCAGUGCCACAGACCAGCAGCCCCUCUCUCUCCCUCUCUCUCUCUCUCUCUCUCUCUCUCCUGUUUCUCAGUCCGUCUCUCCUUCUCUCUUCCUCUGAGUGUCUCCAUCAUCCAUCUGCCUGUCUCCCCCUCAUCUCUCCUUUUUUCUGCACCCUCCCCCAUUAUUAAGCUUGCAGAGGCCCCAGCCUACCAAACGCCCACAGAGCGCAUGUUUUAAUGUGCCUUCAUAGUCUUCCAGAACAACAGAUGCACCAUCUACGACAUUCUUCCCGCUCCUCGCUGCAGCAGCGAUCAAAGAGC